rnacentral:rRNA from 1 species
GGCGAACGCUGGCGGCGUGCUUAACACAUGCAAGUCGAACGGAAAGGCCCUGCUUUUGUGGGGUGCUCGAGUGGCGAACGGGUGAGUAACACGUGAGUAACCUGCCCUUGACUUUGGGAUAACUUCAGGAAACUGGGGCUAAUACCGGAUAGGAGCUCCCGCUGCAUGGUGGGGGUUGGAAAGUUUCGGCGGUUGGGGAUGGACUCGCGGCUUAUCAGCUUGUUGGUGGGGUAGUGGCUUACCAAGGCUUUGACGGGUAGCCGGCCUGAGAGGGUGACCGGCCACAUUGGGACUGAGAUACGGCCCAGACUCCUACGGGAGGCAGCAGUGGGGAAUAUUGCACAAUGGGCGGAAGCCUGAUGCAGCAACGCCGCGUGCGGGAUGACGGCCUUCGGGUUGUAAACCGCUUUCGCCUGUGACGAAGCGUGAGUGACGGUAAUGGGUAAAGAAGCACCGGCUAACUACGUG